UGUUUUUUUUAAAAAGUAAGCUUCAAGCCCAGUGUGGAAGCCAAUGUGGGGCUUGAACUCAUGACCCUGAGAUCAAGACCUGAGCUGAGAUUAAGAGGUGGACAUUUAACUAACCAGGCCA